rnacentral:rRNA from 1 species
AGUGAACGCUGGCGGUAGGCCUAACACAUGCAAGUCGAACGGCAGCACAGUAAGAGCUUGCUCUUACGGGUGGCGAGUGGCGGACGGGUGAGGAAUACAUCGGAAUCUACUUUUUCGUGGGGGAUAACGUAGGGAAACUUACGCUAAUACCGCAUACGACCUACGGGUGAAAGCAGGGGAUCUUCGGACCUUGCGCGAUUGAAUGAGCCGAUGUCGGAUUAGCUAGUUGGCGGGGUAAAGGCCCACCAAGGCGACGAUCCGUAGCUGGUCUGAGAGGAUGAUCGGCCACACUGGAACUGAGACACGGUCCAGACUCCUACGGGAGGCAGCAGUGGGGAAUAUUGGACAAUGGGCGCAAGCCUGAUCCAGCCAGACCGCGUGGGUGAAGAAGGCCUUCGGGUUGUAAAGCCCUUUUGUUGGGAAAGAAAAGCAGCAGGUUAAUACCCCGCUGUUCUGACGGUACCCGAAGAAUAAGCACCGGCUAACUUCGUG